UUCUUCUUCUUCUUCUUCUUCUUCCCUUUUUUUUUUUUGUGUAUAUAGUCGGCUAGUGUAAAUCCCUGUUUUUUAAGGCAAAUGGAAUUGAAUCUAAGUUGGUAUGUGCAUUUGUUUUCAGGUGGUCAAGUGUUUUAAUGUGAGCAGCAUUGUGGACUAAGAGUCUGGGAGAUACUAAGAUCUUGGUGUUCCUUUUCUUUUUUGGCUUCAAUGUUUUUGAGUAAUUAAACUUGUGGAGGGAAUGUGAUAAAAUUUAUGAUUUUGCUCUAAAAAUAUAUGCAAGUGUUAAAAAGAACG
rnacentral:misc_RNA from 1 species